rnacentral:sRNA from 1 species
GCCGCCCUGCUGCGGCGUGGCCUGGAGCUGCUGGCGGCGUCCGAGGCCCCCCGGGACCCUCCAGGUCAGGCCAAGCCGAGAGGGGCUCCGGUGAAACGGCCCCGGAAGACGAAGGCAAUUCAGGCCCAGAAACUGCGGAACUCGGCCAAGGGAAAGGUGCCCAAGUCGGCACUGGACGAGUACCGGAAGCGAGAGUGUCGAGACCACCUCAGAGUAAACCUGAAGUUUCUGACCAGGACGAGAAGCACCGUGGCUGAGUCUGUGAGCCAGCAGGUUGGUCGAGGGGACUAUAGGAAGGGACCUGGGAGGUGAGAGCCGAGGCUGUUCCCCUAGGACCCAUGGCGGUCUCAGCCCUGAGCAUAGGGUGGGAGGCUGGGCCAGCCCUGCCCUGCGCCAAACUCCCCUGUGACCUUUGCGGGCCUCCUCUGCUCUUGAAAUGAUGGGCCCUCGGUCCCGCACCCUCGCCAGAUUUUGCGCCAGAACCGGGGCCGCAAGGCCUGUGACCGGCCUGUGGCCAAGACCAAGAAGAAGAAGGCUGAGGGCACCGUGUUCACCGAGGAAGACUUCCAGAAGUUCCAGCAGGAAUACUUCGGCAGCUAGGCUCCCUGGAGGGCACGGUGAAGAGGCCUUCAAGCCCUGCAGCCUC